GGUCUCUAGUGGCAAUAUGAGCCACCGAUACUGACAUCGACCCCUGCCACUGCUUAGCCACGGAUCCAGAUCCAGGUCCUCAGCAAUAGCAUGGGCGGGGACGUCAUCAUGGCCUCAGCAUGCUUCCUGACAGAGCAUUUUGGAAAGAGGCCUCAGAAGAGCUCCCCAAAACUGGUCCCCAAAAUUGCAUCAUCUGGGGAUGCUGACAGGAAGCAAGAAAAACAAAAAUAGGAUCCAUCCGUGAUACAUUCAUAGUCCUUUUUUUUUUCCCCAAAAAACCUCGAGUACA
rnacentral:lncRNA from 1 species